rnacentral:rRNA from 1 species
UGGGGAAUAUUGGACAAUGGGCGAAAGCCUGAUCCAGCCAUGCCGCGUGAGUGAUGAAGGCCCUAGGGUUGUAAAGCUCUUUUGUGCGGGAAGAUAAUGACGGUACCGCAAGAAUAAGCCCCGGCUAACUUCGUGCCAGCAGCCGCGGUAAUACGAAGGGGGCUAGCGUUGCUCGGAAUCACUGGGCGUAAAGGGUGCGUAGGCGGGUUUCUAAGUCAGAGGUGAAAGCCUGGAGCUCAACUCCAGAACUGCCCUUGAUACUGGAAGUCUUGAGUUCGGGAGAGGUGAGUGGACCUGCGAGUGUAGAGGUGAAAUUCGUAGAUAUUCGCAAGAACACCAGUGGCGAAGGCGGCUCACUGGCCCGAUACUGACGCUGAGGCACGAAAGCGUGGGGAGCAAACA